UGGCUCAGAGCAUAUAGCACCUGCCUGCAGUGCAGGAGACCCAGGUUCGAUCCCUGG
rnacentral:tRNA from 1 species